rnacentral:sRNA from 1 species
AUAUCUCUCCGUACGGGAAGGAUGAGAAGCUUCGAUUAAGGUUCGAUUCGAGCGCAGCGAGAAAGCGUUGCCGCAGGCAACGACCCGAAGGGCGAAGCGCGCAGCGCUG